CUUACAUUUUGCAAUGGAAAAAGAGAGAAACUCUCCUGGAGCUGAAGACAAAUACUCCUUUGGUCCUGGCUUGCAAAUUUCAGGGGAAAGUGGGAACCUAGUCCCCCAUUACCACAAAUUACACAGUAGAGUUUCCCAUAUUUGGGGAAAUCUCGGGAGUGCAAUGGAAUAGAAACUCUCUGCUAUACUCUCAGCAUCCAGAACAGUACUUGGCACACAGGAGAUGUUCAAUAAAUAUUUGUUAAAUUACUAAGUGAACAAGAAGAAGAGCAUACUGUAUUAGGUGCUGAGCAUGAGAGCAACAAAAGAACUAAGAUAUGACCAAAAUGGUCUCUUCCCAAC